GCCUGUCUAGCUCAGUCGGUAGAGCGCAAGGCUCUUAACCUUGUGGUCUUGGGUUCGAGCCCCAAGGUGGGCG
rnacentral:tRNA from 2 species